rnacentral:lncRNA from 1 species
AAAAAAUGGGGAGCUCAGUGCAGUAUUUAACAAUCUGCUUUGAUAGCUGGCCAAUCCACUUACCCUUGCACGGAGCACAUGCCACGGUAGUUCUUUCUUCCAUUAACUCCUUGGUGCCGGGAAACAGAAACGAUUCACAUGGUGUGGAAUGGGAAAAGCAAAAGUGCGGGCCUGGCAAAAACUUUGUGCUUACCUUGUGCCCAGCCUGGAGGGGAUUUGUGAACUAUGGGAAUGAUCAGAUGAACAUUUGCCGGAUGGCUGAGGUGCUUGGGAGUGUGAUGCAGCCCUGCUGAGUUCUGCAGGGCAGCAUCUCUGUGGGGAAACGAGCUGGGCUGGGCGCUGGCUGGUUUGUCAGAACUGUUGCUGGCUGUUGUUCAGUGUAGCUCAGCUGUUCCCGUGUGACGCGGCUCUGUUUCCUCACCUCUUGACUCUCUGAUUCUAUGAUUCUUGCACAAGCUGAUGCCAAGGGUUUGGAGGAGGAGGAUUUUGCCAGCAUCACUCCUGCCUGGUUCAGGGGCUGGGUUUUUUCUGUUGGACUGGGAAGGGAUGGGGAGGAACCAUAUCCUUGCGUGGAGAAGUGGUGAUGGCUCAUAAGCUGGAGGUGCAGGAGCCUUGGUUGAGGAGUGCAGAAGGGAGGCCAUGUCUCCUUGCUUCCUCAGUGCAGAAAUAACCCAUAGGAGCACAUGCAUGGCUCCAGAGCCUGGCCCGGCUGAGCGCCCAUCAUACAGUGAGCAGUGAGUGAACUUGUACUUCCUCGGAAAGCACCUGAUGCAACCUCCAAGUGCUGCAAGGGGCAGUCAUUGGCAGGAAAUGGUAGGAGCUUCUUUCCCAGGAUGAAACACGGUACUAUCCUCCUUUAGAGCAGAGAAAUGAGGGGCCGGGAGAAGGAUAUGAAAAAUAGAUCAGCUUCAGUUGAAACCUGGCAUUUGGAACACCUCGAACUCUGGCAGGCCUCGGGACAACACUUCAAGCUUCUUCAGCCUCGCAAGGUGUGAAGAAACGGCGGCUGCGUGCUGUACCAAGGCUGAGAGCUCCUGAAGCUUCUGCUCUCCCUUUUUGCUCCACGUGGAUGCGGUAUCUGGCAGGGUGACAGCCCAGUCCCUCCCUGCCCGUGCUCCAUGUGUUGCCACUUUGCUGGGCUGCGUCCCACACCAACAUAACGUUCCUCUUGUCUGCGUGCUGAAUGUGCUAAGGCAUGCCAGAAGUAGGGCAUCAGCCAAGCGCUGAUACAGAAAGGAUGUACAGUGGGUAAAAGGUCCUAUGGUUUGGCCUUGGUUCUCUCUCUCUUUAUUUUUUUCUGGGUAGCUCUUCGUGGUUACGUGUUCUGGGCCAUGUUUGGAUUUUGCUAAGUCUGAUUGACACAACUACUUCUUCAAUCACCGUGGACAGCUUACUACAGGCUGAUGUGCCUGUGGUCAAGAACAAAAGGGACGAGGAGAAAAACAUUUUCUUCGUAGUCGGGAAAGCUGCUGUAGAUUCGGCAUCGCGCUUUAACUCGUGUUGUAUCAAAGAAAUACAACAAUAGCAGAAAUUAUUAUUUAUAGGAAGGUCUGUGAAUUCAGGAUGUGAUAUUAUGAGUCACCCGACGGCAAACAUGUUUGCACUCCGACUGCUAUGACUCAUGCUGGCAUUUGUCUUCAGCGUGGCAAUUGCUGGAGCCCUCUGCUUGGUGCACAAUGAAUGAAAGGGCUGAGGUCCCGCUGCAGACGUACUAUGUGCAGCUACACUGCUGAAUCGCAGACUCAGCUGGAGAGCAUUUCCUGUAACACAGACACACGCGUGCACACGCACACAUACACACACACACACACACACACACACUCAACCGUAACACUUCAGGUUUACAUACUAGAUUCAUAGAAAGGAAAUGCAUAAUUACAGUGCUGGCUUAUGCACCACAUAAAGCAGCCCACAUCAAAAGGUGUUCGCCAUUAAUGUUUCAACAGGUAAUCUCUGGAUUUAUUGCCAAGCGGUGUUCCUGUUACUUAGCGUUUGGUGUUGAAAUCUCUGCUGUGAGCCAGUGUAGUCAUCUUAAUCCUGCAAAAAAAAAAAAAAAAAGAAAGUUUG